rnacentral:rRNA from 1 species
UACGUAGGGACCAAGCGUUGUUCGGAUUUACUGGGCGUAAAGGGCGCGUAGGCGGCAUGACAAGUCACUUGUGAAAUCUCCGGGCUUAACUCGGAACGGUCAAGUGAUACUGUCGCGCUAGAGUGCGGAAGGGGCAAUCAGAAUUCUUGGUGUAGCGGUGAAAUGCGUAGAUAUCAAGAGGAAUACCUGAGGUGAAGACGGGUUGCUAGGCCGACACUGACGCUGAAGCGCGAGAGCCAGGGGAGCAAACGGG